CUAAAUUUAAGUUAUAAAAACUAUUUAUUUUCAAAAUAAAAAAACAAAUUUAGA
rnacentral:tRNA from 1 species